rnacentral:rRNA from 1 species
UUGACGGGGCCGCACAAGCGGUGGAGCAUGUGGUUAAUUCGAAGCAACGCGAAGAACCUUACCAGGCCUUGACAUGCUAGGGAACCGGGUGAAAGCCUGGGUGCCCCGCGAGGGAGCCCUAGCACAGGUGCUGCAUGGCCGUCGUCAGCUCGUGCCGUGAGAUGUUGGGUUAAGUCCCGUAACGAGCGCAACCCUUGUCCUUAUUUGCCAUCAUUUAGUUGGGCACUCUAAGGAGACUGCCGGUGACAAACCGGAGGAAGGUGGGGACGACGUCAAGUCAUCAUGGCCCUUACGACCAGGGCUACACACGUGCUACAAUGGGCGGUACAAAGGGUUGCAAGACCGCGAGGUGGAGCUAAUCCCAUAAAACCGUUCGUAGUCCGGAUUGGAGUCUGCAACUCGACUCCAUGAAGUCGGAAUCGCUAGUAAUCGUAAAUCAGCAUGUUACGGUGAAUACGUUCCCGGGCCUU